GAUGAACGCUCGCGGCAGGCCUAAUACAUGCAAGUCGAACGGGUGGUCGCAAGACCACUAGUGGCGCACGGGUGCGUAACGCGUAACCAACCUGCCCCGAUCUGGGGGAUAGCCCGCCGAAAGGCGGAUUAAUACCGCAUAUACCCGCAGCCUGGCAUCAGGCAACGGGGAAAGAUUUAUUGGAUCGGGAUGGGGUUGCGUGACAUUAGCUAGUUGGCGGGGUAAGGGCCCACCAAGGCGACGAUGUCUAGGGGACCUGAGAGGGUGAUCCCCCACACUGGCACUGAGAUACGGGCCAGACUCCUACGGGAGGCAGCAGUAGGGAAUAUUGGGCAAUGGGCGAGAGCCUGACCCAGCCAUGCCGCGUGCCUGAUGAAGGCCUUCUGGGUUGUAAACGGCUUUUCUCAGGGAAGAAAAAGACCUUGCGAGGUACACUGACGGUACCUGAGGAAUAAGCACCGGCUAACUCCGUG
rnacentral:rRNA from 1 species